UCAAUACCUAAUGGCCAUAUGUUGACAGCCUCAGGUAAAAAUAUAUAAAUCAUCACUUUAGUGUCACUCACUGUUUUAUUUUCAAUCCUGUGUUAUAAAGAGUAAAAACCCUAAAUGUGUGCUCUGGUUGCACUGUAGCUUUUUUUUUUCCUGUUUGGUUUUGGAGAUUUGGUUGAUAAGGUAUAAAGUGUGCCAUCAGGAGAGCCGGUGGUCCCGAAGUCUCUGUCUCAGCUGUGUUAUAAACUAAACAUCGGCCUGUGUGUGGGGGGUAAAGUGUGGACUUUUGUCUGUAAGAUAUGUGUUCAUCUUGGCAUCUGUCUGCACAUUAUGCAUGUGUACGAUCAUAUCGAUGACACACGAAAGGUGUGUGCACAUGCAGUGUUUUUUUGUUUUGCUGGGCCUGGCUAGCU